rnacentral:rRNA from 1 species
UACAGAGGUCUCGAGCGUUAGGCGGAAUCACUGGGCUUAAAGCGUGUGUAGGCGGGUCGUUAAGUGCUUUGUGAAAUCCCAUGGCUCAACCAUGGAACUGCUGGGCAUACUGGCGAUCUUGUGCCACCUAGGGGCGAGCGGAACAGAUGGUGGAGCGGUGAAAUGCGUAGAUAUCAUCUGGAACGCCAAUGGUGAAAACAGCUCGCUGGGGGUGUGCAGACGCUGAGACACGAAAGCCAGGGGAGCGAACGGG